AAAGUCGUAACAAGGUCUCCGUUGGUGAACCAGCGGAGGGAUCAUUACAGAGUUGCAAAACUCCCUAAACCAUUGUGAACGUUACCUAAACCGUUGCUUCGGCGGGCGGCCCCGGGGUUUACCCCCCGGGCGCCCCUGGGCCCCACCGCGGGCGCCCGCCGGAGGUCACCAAACUCUUGUUAAUUUAUGGCCUCUCUGAGUCUUCUGUACUGAAUAAGUCAAAACUUUCAACAACGGAUCUCUUGGUUCUGGCAUCGAUGAAGAACGCAGCGAAAUGCGAUAAGUAAUGUGAAUUGCAGAAUUCAGUGAAUCAUCGAAUCUUUGAACGCACAUUGCGCCCGCCAGUAUUCUGGCGGGCAUGCCUGUUCGAGCGUCAUUUCAACCAUCAAGCCCCCGGGCUUGUGUUGGGGACCUGCGGCUGCCGCAGGCCCUGAAAAGCAGUGGCGGGCUCGCUGUCACACCGAGCGUAGUAGCAUACAUCUCGCUCUGGGCGUGCUGCGGGUUCCGGCCGUUAAACCACCUUUUAACCCAAGGUUGACCUCGGAUCAGGUAGGAAGACCCGCUGAACUUAAGCAUAUCAAUAA
rnacentral:rRNA from 1 species